GUGGGAUUUGUCUAUGGAAUUUCCCCUGCAAUGUGAUUUUUACUCGCUUAUUAACUUGUGUACAUUUAUUUUAGUGGAGUUUGUGUUUAGUUUAAGUGCAGCUGCUACGGAAAUUGCUUCGCGGGUUCAGCCCUCUUAAGUGGCAGCAAUGAAUGGCUGAACAAAACUCUUUAGUAUGGUACUACCUUGCCAAAAUUAUAUUGUUCCGAGACAUGCAAAAAUGUGGAUCUAUUAAAAUAGAAAACUUAAGAAUUAUUUCUUGAACAUAUUUAAUGUCUCUAAUUUUGGCCUACGGCGGUUAAGAUAAGGUUAACGAUAAACAUGACCUUUAGCACAGUGAAAGGUAUGUAAACUUUUACCGCUAUUAUUACUAUUAAUGUAGAGCUCAUUAUCACUGCCAUUACCUCAUUACAUUUUUCCAGUAGCAAAUUGUAGGCACAUAAAAGGUGAAUGUUAAGAUUAUUAGCUUAUCCGCCUCGAUGUUGUUUCCUGGUAUAUAAAUGUGAACGUUUAAGCAAGCCAUCGACGGCUAGGCAGUCGCCAUAAGACAGGCAUUGUGCUAACAGGUCAUUCCUCACUCCCUAAUUUACUUUUGUGCUAACAGGUCAUUUCUCACUCCCUAAUUUACUUAUUGUGCUAACAGGUCAUUCCUCACUCCCUAAUUUACUUUUGUGCUAAUAGGUCAUUUCUCACUCCCUAAUUUACUUAUUGUGCUAACAGGUCAUUCCUCACUCCCUAAUUUACUUAUUGUGCUAAUAGGUCAUUCCUCACUCCCUAAUUUACUUUUGUGCUAACCGGUCAUUCCUCACUCCCUAAUUUACUUAUUGUGCUAACAGGUCAUUCCUCACUCCCUAAUUUACUUAUUGUGCUAAUAGGUCAUUUCUCACUCCCUAAUUUACUUAUUGUGCUAACAGGUCAUUCAUCACUCCCUAAUUUACUUAUUGUGCUAACAGGUCAUUCAUCACUCCCUAAUUUACUUAUUUUGGUCUACUUGAAAAUUCGCAAUUUAUCUUCAAUAAAACGUAGCUUGUAUUGUGUGGGGAGCGCGUGUGUAGCGUAAGUUUCGUCAUUGUAUGCUGAGAUAACCAAUACUUCUCUACUUUAAUGAACUAUUUAGCCCAUGCAUUGUUUCUGUGACGUACCUUGUAAGUGUUUUGUAUAUAAAGAUGAUUAGUAAACUUUUCGUUUCGGGAA